AGAAUAACGUAUGCAGUUCACCCCCUCGGAUGCCACAAGUCUCCUCUCCGAAAAGGAGAGGAGCACAGCUCCACGGCAGCAACAAAUCUUAAAAAGGCAUCAAGAUUAUUGCGCAGAAAAAUUCUUUUCUUCACACCUCGACCAGACAACCCAACGUCGUCGUCGUCGUCGUCGUCUUCAAUCCUCAAAGGUCUGGCAUGAAAAAAAAAGUAAUAAACGAAACAAAAAACAGAAAAAAAAACUAAACAGAAUAAGAAACUCAAAGAAUUAAAUGCGACUUCAAAGAAAGGUAAAACGGCAAGCGGAGCACGGACAAGAAAUAUGGUCAAAACGAAGCUACGAGGGCCAACACCACCAACAAUGGACAUCAUGUGCAACAACAAUAAAAACCAAUUUAAGCCGACGUUCAAGCAGGCGGCUUAAAGUGUGUGGCAGGAGUGUGGGGCAUGCACCAUGGCGUACAGAGAGAAAAACAUACUGAUCGCGACAUGAGACCCAUCUUCUUGCCAUCGUAUGCACUUAGUGACUGAUUUGAUAGAUAUGAAAUUUGGUAUGAAAAGAGGAAAUUCAACUUUCUUAUAGCUUUAAUUAUCGGAAGAGGAAGAAUAACUUUCAUUUGCAUUAUAAAGAAUUAAAUUAGUCUAAU
ensembl:ncRNA lncRNA:CR45994 long non-coding RNA:CR45994